rnacentral:lncRNA from 1 species
AGAUAAGGCGGUUAAGGUUGGUGUAAGUAGGGCGCUCAAUGUCCAGUGAGCGCCUGCAAAUGUCAUAAAUGGCUUCAUUGUCCAGAAGGAUGGAAACAUCAGUGUGCUCGAGGAGGGAAUGAGUUGACAGAACACUGUUGUACGGCUCAACAACAGAAGUUGAGACCUGUGGUGAAGGAUAAAUUGUGAAACCAAGUUUUGACUUCUUUCCGUAGUCAACAGAGAGACGCUCCAGAAGAAGCGACCCCAGACCUGAACCAGUACCACCACCAACAGCAUUGAAUACCAGGAACCCUUGAAGACCAGUACAGUUGUCUGCAAGCUUUCGGAUGCGAUCCAAGCAAAGAUCAACAAUCUCUUUCCCAACUACAAACAGACACAAAACAAUCAGCAUUUGACUGAAGAACCAAAAACUAACUUCAGCAAGAUAUAAUACUUACUGGUAUAGUGGCCACGGGCAAAGUUGUUGGCUGCAUCUUCCUUGCCGCUUAUGAGCUGUUCAGGGUGAAAGAGCUGUCGGUAUGUUCCUGUCCUCACUUCA